AUUGAACGCUGGCGGCAGGCCUAACACAUGCAAGUCGAGCGGAGCGGGGGAAGGGUGAGGAAUGCCUAGGUAUCUGCACGUUAGUGGGGGAUACCGUCAGGAACCGGGAGGUAAUACCGCAUACGAUCAGAUGAGACUAGGUCGGAUUAGCUAGUUGGUGGGGUAAGGGCAUACCAAGGCGACGAUCCGUAACUGGUCUGAGAGGAUGAUCAGUCACACUGGGACGUAGACACUGGCCAGACUCCUACGCGAGUCAGAAGUGGGGAAUAUUGGACAAUGGGCGAAAGCCUGAUCCAGCCAUGCCGCGUGGGUGAAGAAGGUCUUCGGAUUGUAAAGCACUUUUAGUAGGGAAGCGUUACCAACAGAGUAAGCCCCGGCUAACUGCGUGCGAGCAGCCGCGGUAAGAC
rnacentral:rRNA from 1 species